rnacentral:rRNA from 1 species
GACAGGCAGUGCAGGCGUUAUUCGGAUGUAUUGGGCGUAAAGGGUAUCUAGGUGGGUCUUAAAAACGAAGGACGAAAAGCUGGCGAAUAAUGUUAGAGGCGUUCCUUUCAGAUUACAGAUCUUGGAGUUAGGAUGGGCGUCUGGAGAAUCUCUUAGGUAAGGGUAAAAUCUUGCAAUCUUUGACAGUACACCUUCGGCGUAGGCACCGGAUGAUAACUAACUGACACUGACGUACGAAAGUUUGGGUCGCAAAUAGG